AAUGGAGGAAACUCUGAUGCAGCGACGCCGCGUGAGUGAAGAAGGUCUUCGGAUCGUAAAACUCUGUCCUUGGUGAAGAUAAUGACGGUAGCCAAGGAGGAAGCCCCGGCUAACUACGUGCCAGCAGCCGCGGUAAUACGUAGGGGGCGAGCGUUGUCCGGAUUUACUGGGCGUAAAGGGUGAGUAGGCGGUUGUAUAUGUCAGGUGUAAAAGGCUAUGGCUUAACCAUGGUUAGCACUUGAAACUGUACAACUUGAGUGCAGGAGAGGUAAGUGGAAUUCCUAGUGUAGCGGUGAAAUGCGUAGAUAUUAGGAGGAACACCAGUGGCGAAGGCGACUUACUGGACUGUAACUGACGCUGAGUCACGAAAGCGUGGGUAGCAAA
rnacentral:rRNA from 1 species